rnacentral:rRNA from 1 species
CCUACGGGAGGCAGCAGUAGGGAAUCUUCCACAAUGGACGAAAGUCUGAUGGAGCAACGCCGCGUGAGUGAUGAAGGUUUUCGGAUCGUAAAACUCUGUUGUAAGGGAAGAACAAGUACGAGAGGGAAUGCUCGUACCUUGACGGUACCUUGCGAGAAAGCCACGGCUAACUACGUGCCAGCAGCCGCGGUAAUACGUAGGUGGCAAGCGUUGUCCGGAAUUAUUGGGCGUAAAGCGCGCGCAGGCGGCCUUUUAAGUCUGAUGUGAAAGCCCCCGGCUCAACCGGGGAGGGUCAUUGGAAACUGGAAGGCUUGAGUACAGAAGAGAAGAGUGGAAUUCCAUGUGUAGCGGUGAAAUGCGUAGAGAUGUGGAGGAACACCAGUGGCGAAGGCGACUCUUUGGUCUGUAACUGACGCUGAGGCGCGAAAGCGUGGGGAGCAAACAGGAUUAGAUACCCUGGUAGUCCACGCCGUAAACGAUGAGUGCUAGGUNUUGGGGGUUUCGCCCCUCNGUGCUGAGCUACGACAUAGACACNCCGCCGUCGGGAGGUACGGCCGCGACGGCGNGAACGUACGAAAGAAGUUAGUACGGCGUGAGACGUAGCCGACGGACGACGACGAGGGAGGAGG